AUUGAACGCUGGCGGCAGGCCUAACACAUGCAAGUCGAGCGGAUGAAGGGGGCUUGCUCCUGGAUUCAGCGGCGGACGGGUGAGUAAUGCCUAGGAAUCUGCCUGGUAGUGGGGGAUAACGUCCGGAAACGGGCGCUAAUACCGCAUACGUCCUGAGGGAGAAAGUGGGGGAUCUUCGGACCUCACGCUAUCAGAUGAGCCUAGGUCGGAUUAGCUAGUUGGUGGGGUAAAGGCCUACCAAGGCGACGAUCCGUAACUGGUCUGAGAGGAUGAUCAGUCACACUGGAACUGAGACACGGUCCAGACUCCUACGGGAGGCAGCAGUGGGGAAUAUUGGACAAUGGGCGAAAGCCUGAUCCAGCCAUGCCGCGUGUGUGAAGAAGGUCUUCGGAUUGUAAAGCACUUUAAGUCGGGAGGAAGGGCAGUAAGUUAAUACCUUGCUGUUUUGACGUUACCAACAGAAUAAGCAACGGCUAACUUCGUG
rnacentral:rRNA from 1 species